rnacentral:tRNA from 1 species
GGGAAGGUAGCUCAGUGGGCAGAGUGCUUGCCUAGCAUGCAUGAAGCCCUGGGUUCAAACUCCAGCUCA